rnacentral:rRNA from 1 species
CCUACGGGUGGCAGCAGUGAGGAAUAUUGGUCAAUGGACGAGAGUCUGAACCAGCCAAGUAGCGUGAAGGAUGACUGCUCUAUGGGUUGUAAACUUCUUUUAUAUGGGAAUAAAAUGUUUCACGUGUGGGAUUUUGUAUGUACCAUAUGAAUAAGGAUCGGCUAACUCCGUGCCAGCAGCCGCGGUAAUACGGAGGAUCCGAGCGUUAUCCGGAUUUAUUGGGUUUAAAGGGAGCGUAGGUGGAUUGUUAAGUCAGUUGUGAAAGUUUGCGGAUCAACCGUAGAAGUGAAGUUGAAACUGGCAGUCUUGAGUACAGUAGAGGUGGGCGGAAUUCGUGGUGUAGCGGUGAAAUGCUUAGAUAUCACGAAGAACACCGAUUGCGAAGGCAGUUCACUGGACUGCAACUGACACUGAGGCUCGAAAGUGUGGGUAUCAAACAGGAUUAGAUACCCGUGUAGUC